rnacentral:rRNA from 1 species
UACGGAGGGUGCGAGCGUUGUCCGGAAUUACUGGGCGUAAAGAGCUCGUAGGUGGUUUGUCGCGUUGUCCGUGAAAACUCACAACUCAAUUGUGGGCGUGCGGGCGAUACGGGCAGACUGGAGUACUGCAGGGGAGACUGGAAUUCCUGGUGUAGCGGUGGAAUGCGCAGAUAUCAGGAGGAACACCGGUGGCGAAGGCGGGUCUCUGGGCAGUAACUGACGCUGAGGAGCGAAAGCGUGGGGAGCGAACAGG